UGUGUACCGGUGGGGUCCCUCGGCCUGGUCUGUGGAGUCGGACCGAAACUGGCUCUCUGACAUCCCCCAAGGGGUCCUGGAUUGCAAGAGGGCACAGGCCAGGCCGAGGGACCCCACCAGUGCAUG
rfam:Myotis brandtii contig239804, whole genome shotgun sequence.